rnacentral:misc_RNA from 1 species
GAUGAAGAACGCAGCAAAAUGCGAUACUUGGUGUGAAUUGCAGAAUCCCGUGAACCAUCGAGUUUUUGAACGCAAGUUGCGCCCGAAGCCUUUUGGCCGAGGGCACGUCUGCCUGGGCGUCACGCAUCGCGUCGCCCCCCACAAUUCUCCGUAAAGGGAACAUGUGUUUUGGGGGCGGAUAUUGGUCUCCCGUGCUCAUGGCGUGGUUGGCCGAAAUAGGAGUCCUUUCGAUGGACGCACGAACUAGUGGUGGUCGUAAAAACCCUCGUCUUUUGUUUCGUGCUGUUGCUCGCAAGGUAAACUCUUUAAAAACCCCAAUGUGUCGUCUCUUGACGACGCUUCGACCGCGACCCCAGGUCAGGCGGGACUACCCGCUGAGUUUAAGCAUAUCAAUAGCGGAGGA